UGGGGAGAAAUAGCCGAGUCACGGCCUAGGGCCCGUGAGGGCAGGGCGGGGGAACUACCGCCCGUUUCGGGCAGGGUACCUCGCGCUCUCUCAGGGACGGUCUCCAAUGUCAGAUGCCUUCCUCCUUUCAGGAACCUCUGUUGGCGGACCCUGCGGUUGUCUCAUGCAUCACACCUUAUUGCUUCAAGCCGGUUACUUUCCUUACUUCAGGGAAAAAGAACACAAAUUAAGUUCCUUCUUACGUGGCCGUGCAGAGCAAAACUUUCGGGUUUUGCUCGCCAGUUCCAAGUGAAGGCGUAGAGAUGGACUCCGUGCUGGAGAAGGUCCCCCGUAGCUUUGGUGCUGCAGGACACAAAUCAUCCUUAGCUUUAACCAACACCGCAGACUCCUCGUUAAAUGUUACAGUAGAAAAGUGAACCUUGUUGGAGUUGUCAGUCUCCUGAUUAGAAGCAGAAGAUGACAUUAGGAAUAGCAAAAGUGCCUACUUGGAAUACAAAGGUCUAUGUAAAUAUACCCCCUGAUUGCAGCUGCUGUGGAAAAAGAAGAAAGUAUAAGGAAGGUUUACUCAUGUACUAUAAAACUGGGAGGAAAUAAGAGACAGCAGGUGAAAGAAGCAGCAUAUACAAAAGAAGAAAAAGGGAAAUCACUGAAGGAAAUGCAUAAGUUGAGUGAAAGUUAGUAAUCCUGGAACUGGCUCUUAUUACCAUACAGAAAGAGAUAGUAUUUGUGGUUUGGUGAGUGAGCUAUUUUUGAUAUUGUUUUCCUACAUAAGCUACUGAUAUAAUUGCUAAAGAAAAAAACAGUGAAAAGAUCAGAACAUCCUGUGAGCACAGAUAGAGCUUACAUUGUGUAUACAUUUUGGAAAUAAAACUCAUUUAUUUUUA